GACGUAGGGCGCGAGCGUUGUUCGGAUUCAUUGGGCGUAAAGGGUGCGUAGGCGGCGCGGUAAGUCGGGUGUGAAAUCUCGGAGCUUAACUCCGAAACUGCAUUCGAUACUGCCGUGCUUGAGGACUGGAGAGGAGACUGGAAUUCACCGGUGUAGCAGUGAAAUGCGUAGAUAUCGUGAGGAAGACCAGUGGCGAAGGCGGGUC
rnacentral:rRNA from 1 species